UACGUAGGUGGCAAGCGUUGUCCGGAGUUAUUGGGCGUAAAGCGCGCGCAGGCGGUGCGGUAAGUCUCUGGUGAAAGCGCUCGGCUUAACUGGGCGAGGGCCGGGGAGACUGCCACGCUGGAGGGGAGCAGAGGCGAGUGGAAUUCCGGGUGUAGUGGUGAAAUGCGUAGAGAUCGGGAAGAACACCCGUGGCGAAGGCGGCUCACUGGGCUGACCUUGACGCUGAGGCGCGAAGGCGUGGGGAGCGAACGGG
rnacentral:rRNA from 1 species